GAGAGCGAGUGUUAAAGGGUGGGUUUCCAUAGAGAGCGAGAGAGAGAGAGAGAGAGAGAGCUCUGCAGUGAAGAUUGGUUCUCUGGUUCUCGGAAUCCUCUCUGAGUUGAAGGUUGGUAAUGGUGAAGAUUUUUCCCAAGAUACGGACGAUGGAACUUCAAUAGCAAGAAACUAAUUGAGCCAUCGACUGUCGAUCGCUGGGGGCAGUUGUAAACUUUUCUGCUCGUUGUGAUGUACGAGGGCUGAUAAGAGAUGAUUGGUGUUUUAUUCUUGUUCUUUAGGUUGUGAGUUCCCGGGCAUGUCCCUUAAUUUCUAGGUACAGGGCAUCAGUUCGAACCCAAUCUCCAAAGGUUGAGAUGAUUGACUCUUUGUUCCCGGGGUUGCCUUCUUGUGCGGCAGUCCUAUUUUCAAAAUGAUCCGUCAAAUUUUACUGAUUUGGGAGUGUUGGGAUGCGCAGAGGCUUCCAUUCCAGCUUUCGAACCACACAAGGAGGUCUCUCAUUGAAUAUUGAUGUCUCAACCACCAUGAUAGUUAGACCUGGCCCCGUUAUAGACUUUCUCAUAGCUAAUCAGAAUGUUAGAGAUCCUUAUCAAAUCGGUUGGUCAAAAGCAAAACGUAUGCUAUAGAAUUGAAGGAUAAAAGCUGCUCCUUCAAACACAGAAUACAAGAUUGUUGGUUUGAGCGAACUGCCCUGCAAUCAGCAAUUGCUCACCCCCUAAGCAGAGA